rnacentral:rRNA from 1 species
GGAUUAGAUACCCUGGUAGUCCACGCGGUAAACGAUGAAUACUAGAUGUCGGGUAGCAAAGCUAUUCGGUGUCGUCGCAAACGCAAUAAGUAUUCCACCUGGGGAGUACGUUCGCAAGAAUGAAACUCAAAGGAAUUGACGGGGACCCGCACAAGCGGUGAAGCAUGUGGUUUAAUUCGAAGCAACGCGAAGAACCUUACCUGCUCUUGACAUCCCAUUCGAUAGAGGGUAAUGCCUCUAGCCCUUCGGGGGAAUGGAGACAGGUGGUGCAUGGUUGUCGUCAGCUCGUGCCG